AACGAACGCUGGCGGCAGGCUUAACACAUGCAAGUCGAGCGCCCCGCAAGGGGAGCGGCAGACGGGUGAGUAACGCGUGGGAAUCUACCCAUCUCUACGGAAUAACGCAUGGAAACGUGUGCUAAUACCGUAUACGUCCUUCGGGAGAAAGAUUUAUCGGAGAUGGAUGAGCCCGCGCUGGAUUAGCUAGUUGGUGGGGUAAAGGCCUACCAAGGCGACGAUCCAUAGCUGGUCUGAGAGGAUGAUCAGCCACACUGGGACUGAGACACGGCCCAGACUCCUACGUGAGGCAUCAGUGGGGAAUAUUUGACAAUGGGCGCAAGCCUGAUCCAGCCAUGCCGCGUGAGUGAUGAAGGCCCUAGGGUUGUAAAGCUCUUUCACCGGUGAAGAUAAUGACGGUAACCGGAGAAGAAGCCCCGGCUAACUUCGUGCCAGCCGCCGCAGUAAAAC
rnacentral:rRNA from 1 species